GUAGCGUCACCUUUACUCACGCACAACGGCUUCUUAUUAACAUAUAGCGUCUGUAGCGUUAGAAGCCGUUGCUUGUUUCCUCAGCCUACUCU